GAUGAACGCUGGCUACAGGCUUAACACAUGCAAGUCGAGGGGAAACGACGGGGAAGCUUGCUUCCCCGGGCGUCGACCGGCGCACGGGUGAGUAACGCGUAUCCAACCUGCCUCUGACUGAGGGAUAACCCGUCGAAAGUCGGCCUAAUACCUCAUGGCAUCGUCUGCGGGCAUCCAACGACGAUUAAAGAUUUCAUCGGUCAGAGAUGGGGAUGCGUCUGAUUAGCUUGUUGGCGGGGUAACGGCCCACCAAGGCGACGAUCAGUAGGGGUUCUGAGAGGAAGGUCCCCCACAUUGGAACUGCGACACGGUCCAAACUCCUACGGGAGGCAGCAGUGAGGAAUAUUGGUCAAUGGGCGAGAGCCUGAACCAGCCAAGUAGCGUGCAGGAUGACGGCCCUAUGGGUUGUAAACUGCUUUUAGGCGGGGAUAAAGUGAGGGACGUGUCCUUCAUUGCAGGUACCGCAUGAAUAAGGACCGGCUAAUUCCGUG
rnacentral:rRNA from 1 species